rnacentral:rRNA from 1 species
CCUACGGGGGGCAGCAGUGGGGAAUAUUGGACAAUGGGGGCAACCCUGAUCCAGCCAUGCCGCGUGUGUGAAGAAGGCCCUCGGGUUGUAAAGCACUUUCAGUGAGGAAGAACGCCUGGUGGUUAAUACCCAUCAGGAAAGACAUCACUCACAGAAGAAGCACCGGCUAACUCCGUGCCAGCAGCCGCGGUAAUACGGAGGGUGCGAGCGUUAAUCGGAAUUACUGGGCGUAAAGCGCGCGUAGGUGGCUUGAUAAGCCGGUUGUGAAAGCCCUGGGCUCAACCUGGGAACGGCAUCCGGAACUGUCAAGCUAGAGUGCAGGAGAGGAAGGUAGAAUUCCCGGUGUAGCGGUGAAAUGCGUAGAGAUCGGGAGGAAUACCAGUGGCGAAGGCGGCCUUCUGGACUGACACUGACACUGAGGUGCGAAAGCGUGGGUAGCAAACAGGAUUAGAUACCCGAGUAGUC